rnacentral:rRNA from 1 species
AUUGAACGCUAGCGGGAUGCUUUACACAUGCAAGUCGAACGGAGUGGCGGACGGGUGAGUAAUAUAUCGGAACGUGCCCAGUAGCGGGGGAUAACUACUCGAAAGAGUGGCUAAUACCGCAUACUUUUGGAUCAGCCCAUAUCGGAUUAGCUAGUUGGUGGGGUAAAGGCUCACCAAGGCCACGAUCCCUAGCUGGUUUGAGAGGACGACCAGCCACACUGGGACUGAGACACGGCCCAGACUCCUACGGGAGGCAGCAGUGGGGAAUUUUGGACAAUGGGGGAAAGCCUGAUCCAGCCAUCCCGCGUGUAUGAUGAAGGCCUUCGGGUUGUAAAGUACUUUUAGCAGAGAAGCGGUAUCUGCAGAAUAAGCACCGGCUAACUCCGUGCCAGCAGCCGCGGUAAUAC